UACAGAGGUCCCAAGCGUUUGUUCGGAUUCAUUGGGCGUAAAGGGUUCGUAGGCGGCCUUGUAAGUGAGAUGUGAAAUCCCACGGCUCAACCGUGGAAGUGCAUUUCAUACUGCAAGGCUUGAGGGAGACAGAGGUAAGCGGAACUGAUGGUGGAGCGGUGAAAUGCGUUGAUAUCAUCAGGAACACCGGUGGCGAAAGCGGCUUACUGGGUCUCUUCUGACGCUGAGGAACGAAAGCCAGGGGAGCGAACGGG
rnacentral:rRNA from 1 species